rnacentral:lncRNA from 1 species
UCCCACAUCGGUGGGAUUUGAGGUCCUUGGUCUCCUUAUAUGGUUUUGGGCAAUCCUCACCUCAUAAGCUAGCUUUUGGGGUUGAUUUGGGCCCAAGGUUCAUUUAUCAUGGUAUCAGAGCCAAGCCCAUCCCAGUAAUUGUUACCGAUAUUGGGCCCCCAUUUAUGUUCCACGCUCCAGUAGGCCUUGGUGUGAGGGGGGUGUUGAGUUGUCCCACAUCGGUGGGAUUUGAGGUCAUUGGUCUCCUUAUAUGGUCUUGGGCAAUCCUCACCUCAUAAGCUAGCUUUUGGGGUUGAGUUAGGCCCAAGAUCCAUUUAUUAAUCUGUUCAUCAAUUCUAGAAACUUUUAUUAUCUAACGUUUCAAAUCACUCAAAGUUUUGUUUAUCUAAAGUUGUGUUAAUCUGAUAAAAAUUAUGUCCAACUUAGAUAUAUGUGAUAACCUUUUUGGAAAAAAUUUAGGUUAUGAAAAUUUUGCGGACGAAAAGGGAUUGACCUGCGUCCAAGAGCUAUAGAUCAUUGAAAUCUGAAAGUUAAAGUUCAUAUUAAUAAAUCACUGCCAAUUGUCUAUACAAGUGGCUACAUGAGUGAUCCAAGGAUAUCCAUGGAACUUCACAAUUAACUGAACUGGAAAAAGAGAUCAUUUUUCCUUCAAGAGCCCUUGUGUGAUUGGUAAUUGAUAAGAGUUCAAUCAUCCAGUUUUAAUUAUAUUUUCCUAAUGAUAGACUAUAUGACUCAAGCAGGGUUACACGCACAUCUUGUACUUUGCAACACCUACUUGGUGUUUAUUAAUGAAACUCUUUUAACUUAUAUAAAAUAAAUCAUAGCCUAACUUUUUUCCAGAUGUUAAAAUUCGAUACAGGGCCAGGACAAACUUUAUUUAUUUUUGCUUAAUUGACUCAAAUACUCUUGGCAGCGCGCU